AAUUCAGACAUCUGUGCUUCAGCUAUACAUGUUGGAAAAAUAACCAGCAGUGGUGGAUACGUUACUUACCAAAAGCUACCUGCACAGGACUGGUACCAAGGAACCAAACAAAAUGGUAUCUCGUCCUAUGACCUCAGUUAUGGGUCAGGAUCUUUUGCAUUUCUCUAGAGUUCAGUUAUGUUACAGUACAUGUGAACAGUUCUUGAUUGUUUGUUAUUUAUGUAUGUAUUUUUGUGUUUUAUAGCUACAAUUCCUGGUUCUGCCUUAAAGGGUUACUCUAAUCAAAAAUCAGUGGUUUAAGAAGAAGAAUGGUUUUGGUUAGAGUAACUCUUCGUAUCUUGGUCUCCCCUCAUGUCAAAGUUAAAAAAUAAAUAGAUCAAAGGUAAAACUUAGCUCUGUUCCCACGCCUAUGUUUUCCACUUAGCCCGAUCUUCCUCUGGGGGAGGAAAGGGCAUGCCGCCAUUAGACUAUUGUUGCCAGUAUGGUAAAGAGUUUGUUUAGGUUUUGGGAGAGAUUAAAUGUAGUGAUAGGUAAAAGGGAUUUUUAUGGCAUGAGGAGUUUGAAGGGUUAUAUGCAAAGUACUCACCUUCACAUGUCUACCAUAGUCCAUUCAGCUUCCUGUUAUUGAUGGGAGAACUGCAAUAGCAUUUAUACAGAGUGCUGUCUCUGCUCCUCGUGCAUGGCACUUCCUGGUUGCUACAGGGGAGAUGGGAAGUGUCCAUUCCACUGUCUCCUCAGACCACACACAGAACCUGGAGGAGCUGUGACUGCACUUAGUUGUGCACUCUUUGUAACUGUUCCUGCAGCUUUGCUGUCAAAAUGUGGAGGCUGACUGAACUACGGAGGACACUGGCCAAGUCCCUUGGCAUUUAUCUCUUCCCAUCAGCCUACGUAAGCUCCAAAAAAGUACAUUGUGAAUACUGAACGCAGGCGCCUCUUACAGGAUAUGUGUCUACAGAUAGGUGCUGCCUCUGCCUGAUGGGAAAUGCAACACUGCUGUCAACUACAGAGAGAAAGUUAAAAAAAAAAAAAAAGGAAUUGUUUGUUUAAUAAACUUGCUACGGUUUAAAGCAAGUACUUUUUUUUUUCUUAUCAAAAACAAUGUGACUAUGUAGUACACUCAAUAUAUGAAUAAACAAAAGUAACAUAUGGAACUCACUGUAAUAUUUCACUAUCU